UACGUAGGGCGCAAGCGUUAUCCGGAAUUAUUGGGCGUAAAGAGCUCGUAGGCGGUUUGUCGCGUCUGCCGUGAAAGUCCGGGCUCAACUCCGGAUCUGCGGUGGGUACGGGCAGACUAGAGUGAUGUAGGGGAGACUGGAAUUCCUGGUGUAGCGGUGAAAUGCGCAGAUAUCAGGAGGAACACCGAUGGCGAAGGCAGGUCUCUGGGCAUUAACUGACGCUGAGGCACGAAAGCGUGGGGAUCAAACAGG
rnacentral:rRNA from 1 species